CAGUAGCCACGGGAAUACGUAGGGUGCAAGCGUUAUCCGGAAUUAUUGGGCGUAAAGAGCUCGUAGGCGGUUUGUCGCGUCUGCUGUGAAAACUGGAGGCUCAACCUCCAGCCUGCAGUGGGUACGGGCAGACUAGAGUGCGGUAGGGGAGAUUGGAAUUCCUGGUGUAGCGGUGGAAUGCGCAGAUAUCAGGAGGAACACCGAUGGCGAAGGCAGAUCUCUGGGCCGUAACUGACGCUGAGGAGCGAAAGCAUGGGGAGCGAACAGGAUUAGAUACCCCGGUAGUCCCUGUCUCUUAUAA
rnacentral:rRNA from 1 species